CAGUAGGGAUCUUCCACAAUGGACGAAAGUCUGAUGGAGCAACGCCGCGUGAGUGAAGAAGGUUUUCGGAUCGUAAAACUCUGUUGUUGGAGAAGAAUGUAUCUGAUAGUAACUGAUCAGGUAGUGACGGUAUCCAACCAGAAAGCCACGGCUAACUACGUGCCAGCAGCCGCGGUAAUACGUAGGUGGCAAGCGUUGUCCGGAUUUAUUGGGCGUAAAGCGAGCGCAGGCGGUUUCUUAAGUCUGAUGUGAAAGCCUUCGGCUCAACCGAAGAAGUGCAUCGGAAACUGGGAAACUUGAGUGCAGAAGAGGACAGUGGAACUCCAUGUGUAGCGGUGAAAUGCGUAGAUAUAUGGAAGAACACCAGUGGCGAAGGCGGCUGUCUGGUCUGUAACUGACGCUGAGGCUCGAAAGCAUGGGUAGCAAACAGGAUUAGAUACCCUGGUAGUCCAUGCCGUAAACGAUGAGUGCUAGGUGUUGGAGGGUUUCCGCCCUUCAGUGCCGCAGCUAACGCAUUAAGCACUCCGCCUGGGGAGUACGACCGCAAGGUUGAAACUCAAAGGAAUUGACGGGGCCCGCC
rnacentral:rRNA from 1 species